CUAUUUCCUUUCAACCAAACAGGGACAUAAAGAUUCUGUACUCUUAAUGUAUCUAUACACUGUAAAUGCCCCGAUUAUAAUCAUGUAUUGUCUUUCUGCUGACUGGAUAACACGCCACAGAAGCUUUUCACUUCACACGUGACAAUAAACUAAACUGAACUUUAUUCUUUCCAUAUUGUCUUCAAUCCCCUCGCCCCCCAGACUCUCCACGUGUCGACAUGGAAGAGGCAAUUUACCGCGGCUAAUUAACCUACCAACCUGCAUACAUUUGGUAUUCUCUGUCUACAAAGGCUCUGGCUCUGUGUUGGACAGAGGUGGGGUGGGCGCGUGCCCCUGGUGAGACUGUAACGCUGCGUGUGUUUGCUUCCAGGCUGACAUCGCCGCCAUCCAGCAGAUGCAUGAGGAGCGGACGGAGCUGGCGCUGCGGGCAGUUGGUUGCAAUACCAAGAUGUUGUUGCAGAAGGUGAAGGAAAUGGAAUCAGCUGUGGAAAGGUACAGAGCUGAGCUGUGGCAGUUUCUAGACUGCAUCAACUGCUCACAACGAUAGAGAUAAAUAACUCAUUUAAGGGCCUGUCCCACUUGCCGAUCUUUUUCGGCGACUGCCGGCAUCAUAUCAGUGUCGCCAAAACAUUUUGAACAUUUCAAAAUCCAGCGACGAAACAAAACAAUGUUGCGACAGUUGUAAAAACACCGCGAUUCAUACAUCAUCACUCCGCAUCACGCCACAAAUGUUUUGGUGUUGAUGUUGUCGGCCACAGUAUCUGCAGAUGCAUCAAGAUGCCCCUGGGGUGUGGCACGGCACCAGGUUUGCCUGUGGCUGAGCUGUGAGCAGUAUAACGCUGAUGUUGUGUGUUUCCAGCCAGGAUUGGAGAAGGAGCAGACCCUGGAGGGAGGGUUGCUGCGUGAAACAGGUCAACGUUGUUUUUAGUUUUGAGGUACAGCGUGGAAAAACGCUCUUCGGCCCACCGAGUCCGUGCAGACCAACGAUCACCCUUACACCGACCGGUAGUCAGGAUUGAACCCAGGUCUCUGGCGCUGCAAGGCACGUAACUCUACUCUGUACCACCGUGCUGCCUCUGCUCCUGCACUCUGGUGGCUUGCUUUGUCCUGUCUGGGGCAGGUUUUGUCUGGGCCACAGCUAGACAUAAAUACAGUAUAUUUCCACGAGUAGUAGCUCUACUCAAUAGCCAAAAGUCUGUAGCCUCUUUUUACUCUGGUACUUUAUUUCCACAUGUUUAAAUUAUAAUGUUUUAUUUUUACUGGACAAUGGCGCUGAAACAGCAGCAACGUGUGGGCCGAGUGGCCUCUCUCUCUGUGUACCUGCCAGCAGCCGCAGCAGACCAUCCACCUUCCAGAUAGAGAAACACAUCCCUGGCAGUGACCCGGUCCUAGUUCCCUCUGCUCAUUGGGCGCUGACUCCACGCUGUAGCGAAUCACCUCCGAGUCAAGGUUGGAGGAGAGAGAGCGAGAUGCAUUAGUGCGAGGCUUCGGCCGUGGGCUUGAAUCGGCCCGUUCACGGGGUCUUUCAUCGGCCGGUGGAGGCUUCAACAUCGGGAGACUUGAUCGCCUCGAUGCAGCAGUUUGAUUUUAUGCUGCAACGGGCGCUGAAAGACCCCGCGAACGGGCAGAUUCUGCCCUUAGAAAGCGGCUGAUAAAGGCCGGAUGACAAAACAUUGGGGGGGGGGAGUUUGUCCCCCACCUCUCAAAGCAUGGGGGGAACACAAUCCUGUACCCCAAGAUUUCCACCCCUGCACCAAGGGAUCAGGGACUGUCAAAUAAAGAUGCUGCCGUUUACAACUUCAUUGAACUGUGGGUGAAUAACAACUGGGGCCAUCCAGAAUAUACUUGCCUCUACCGGUUCCGUGUCCACGGAGAAGCAGCAAUGUGAUUCUGGAUGUGGCUGCCCCGCCUGCACUCUACAACACAAACAAACUCGACCUAAUCUGGAUUCAAAGUUGAUUUUCCGCAACAAUGUCAAUUUCUGUCAUAAAUGUUUAUAGUGUUUUAAAUUAUUUAUAAUUAUUUUAUCUUAAAUAUAUUUAGAA